GACGUAGGGCGCGAGCGUUGUCCGGAUUUAUUGGGCGUAAAGAGCUCGUAGGCGGCUUGUCGCGUCGACUGUGAAAACCCGCAGCUCAACUGUGGGCUUGCAGCUGAUACGGGCGGGCUGGGAUUCGGUAGGGGAGACUGGAAUUCCUGGUGUAGCGGUGAAAUGCGCAGAUAUCAGGAGGAACACCGGUGGCGAAGGCGGGUCUCUGGGCCGAUAUCGACGCUGAGGAGCGAAAGCGUGGGGAGCGAACAGG
rnacentral:rRNA from 1 species